GAGAUGUUUGGUUAAGUCCAGCAACGAGCGCAACCCUUAUCGUCAGUUGCCAGCGCGUAAUGGCGGGAACUCUGGCGAGACUGCCCCGGUUAACGGGGAGGAAGGUGGGGAUGACGUCAAGUCCUCAUGGCCCUUAUAUCCAGGGCUACACACGUGCUACAAUGGUAGGUACAAAGGGCAGCGAACCCGCGAGGGUGAGCGAAUCCUCAAAGCCUAUCUCAGUCCGGAUUGGAGUCUNCAACUCGACUCCAUGAAGUUGAAUCGCUAGUAAUCGCGAUCAGCAUGCCGCGUGAUAUGUAUCCCGGGGCCUU
rnacentral:rRNA from 1 species